CAUUGCUUUCAAAUGUAUAAGCAGGAUUUUAUGAGAAGGCUGCUAAGAUUUUUCGAUCUAGCUUAAAAGGCCAAAUAAGAAGAAAUGGCUUUAUAAAAAGAAUGGAAAUAAUUUACUUGAAAGGAAGAGAAAAAUGUCCUUCGCUCAUGAUCAAACACGGAAACGAGGUGGUGAAGAUGUCAGUGGCAUUCUUAUCUCUGAGAACAGCAAAUGUGAGAGAUUUUAGAAACCAUAAAGUGAUCUGUAAGGUUCCCCUCUUUUUUAUUAUUCAAGAAGAGAAACAGAAAUAUACAUUCUGGACAACUGAAAUGUGCAUCUAUUUUUUUUUUUUUAAGGCAAGGUUGGAAGACCUUCCAAGGAAGGGCUCAUCAGUUACCUGAACUACACCGAAGCAGAUUUCUCACUUAUUUUGAAAACCACCUAUGAAUCUCUGUUAUUCUCAAAAUCAAUACAUAGGAAAAAAAAAAUUUUUGCCAUUGUUGCAAUGAUUUUAAUCUGCCAAACAUACAUCUUAGAAUUCUCAUAAGCAGUUACUUUUUCUGUUUGAUGGUUAAUUAAAAAAAAAAUUGUGGUAAAAUACACAUACCAUAACAUUUGCCAUCCUAUUUUUAAAUAUACAGUUCAGUAGUGUUAAGUACAUUCACAUGGUUGUGCAACCAAUCCCUAGAACUAUUUUUAUCUUGCAAACCUGAAACUCCAUACACGUUAAACACCAACUCCCCAUUUCUCUGUCCCACGGCCUCCCUGGCGGCCACCAUUCUACUUUCUGUCUCUGUGAGUUUGACUAUUCUGGAAACCUCAGGUACGAGAAAUCAUACAGUAUUUGUCUUUUGGUGACUGCGUUAUUUCACGGAGCGUAAUAUCCUCCAGGUGCAGAAGCAAUAUUUUAACUCUUAUUUACUUCUGUUUUAACAAGAUCACAGGCCUCUAGGCUGUGGGGUUCCCUGAGGCGUGGAUCCAUUGAGAAUGAUGAUAGGAUAUACCACGCCGUGAUCUGGCUCGUGAUUUUGUUGUUGCCACGGGACAGUUAGGAAAUGCACACGUGUCCGAUGUCCAGCUCAGGGACUGCUCUGGUUUACAUAGCCUUUCCUCCAAGACAAGGGUUACCUACAAAGCAUGGCUGCCCCUUCCCUGAAUGGAUCCCUAAGCUUGAAAGGCUAUGUUUGGGUCUACUAUAGGAAAUAUCAGAGUAUAGAGAUCACUAAUAAAAUCGAUCUAUUAAUUAAUUAGGUCAUCCGUAGAUGACAGCUUUACUGAGCAUGGUAGGUAUCUACCACAGGCAAAGCCAUUACAUCAGGUACCAAAAAGAAUAAGGCAUGAUCCUUGCACUGAGAAACUGGAAAUCUCAUUGAGAGAGAGGUAAACACAAUAAAAAAAAAACAUAAGGUAUAUGUUGUAGAGUGAAUAUUUGCUUCCCCCCCCAAAAUUCACACAUUAGAUCCUAACCUUACAGUGAUGGCACGUGGAGGUGGGCCUCUGGAGGUGAUUAAGUCAUAAAGGUGGAGCCCUCACGAAUGAGAUGAGUGACCUUGUAAAAGAGACCCCUGAGAGCUCCCCUGCCCACGCUGUAGCCACUUGGGGACACAGCAGAAAGACGGCUGUGUAUGAGCCAGGAAGAGGGUCCUCACCAGAUACCAAAUCUGUCUGCACUUUGAUCUUGGACUCCCAGCCUCCAGGACUGGAAACAGACCCACAAAAAGCAGAAGGAACGACCACGGACGACGAGGGAGCGGCCAGAGGAAUGUUUCCAAGCGGGAACAACGGUCAUAGAACUAUCAGCUGGAAGAAAGGAUAACCACAUACUUCUUUGCGUCGACUAAAAUUUUUGAGAAAUAUAAGAGGUAAGAAAGCGGGGAGGGAAAUCUGAGUAUACAGAGUCAAGCCCCCUUCAGAGAGUCUCUGAAUGCCACAGAUCCACUGGCCGCCGUCUGGGCUUACCAGCGCCCCCUGGAAGCUGCCGUGAUUAGCACAGGACCCGUGAUGUCAUCUGCACACUGAUGCCUUAGGAAGACCUCUGAGAGCACUGGUCAGAAGGCACGAAGGAACUACGGAAGGAGAAUGAGUAGGUGCAGAGUGAGAUGAUAAAUAAUCACCUACCUACCUGCCUGUGACAGUCUUGACGUGUACUUGACUCAUGCACUCACCCACCCGGCAAACAUCUUAGACCACCUUGUAUGUCCCAGGAGUCGUGCUGGGUUCUGGGGCUACAGUAGGAGAACCUGUCUCCGGGAGGCUUAUAGUCUAGAGCAGCUCCGUCGGGAAAUCCAGGGUGCAGUUUUCACUUAAAGCCCCUUAGUUCAGAUGAAGCACUUUGCAAUGUACCUCAGCCACGCGUGCCAGUGGCCGCUGUGCCGAACGGCACACGCAGGCCUGGGCGUAGCUGGCUGCGCCUUGAUCGCUGAAUAUGCAAAGGUCCCAACCCGUUUUUGAUUGGUCUGUUUGUAGCUUACCUCGCAGCCCUCGUAAAGUCACAAACUACGUAGGAAAAAUCACAAAUAAUUACUAUUUUACCUAGUUAGAUGUACUGUCAUGAACCUUCCAGUCCUCCUACCACAGACUAAGGUGUUGCUUCUAUGACUGUUCUCUCCUCUACCACACCCACAGAAAUCAAUAUAAAAUUCCCCCGAACCCCAGCCCACUGUCUAUCGGCAUCUCUGGCUAUACCAUAGUCUCUUAAAAAAAA